GCUUUACUGUAGCCUGGAAUUGUGUUCGGGCUUCGCUUGCGCAGGAUAGGUGGGAGGCAUAGAAGUACCCCUUGUGGGGGGUAUGGAGCCAACGGUGAGAUACCACUCUGGCGAGGCUAGGAUUCUAAUGGCGUUAACCUUGAAUCAGGGAACGCUGAACAGUUUUCAGGUGGGCAGUUUUACUGGGGCGGUAGCCUCCAUAAAGCGUAACUGAGGCGCGCAAAGGUUCCCUCAGUCUGGUUGGAAAUCAGACAUUGAGUGUAAAGGCAGAAGGGAGCUUGAUUGCAAGACCAACAAGUCGAGCAGGGGCGAAAGCUGGCCUUAGUGAUCCGACGGUGCCGUGUGGAAGGGCCGUCGCUCAACGAAUAAAAGUUA
rnacentral:rRNA from 1 species